rnacentral:rRNA from 1 species
GCGUGAGUGAAGAAGGCUCUAGGGUUGUAAAGCUCUUUCAACGGGGAAGAUAAUGACGGUACCCGUAGAAGAAGCCCCGGCUAACUUCGUGCCAGCAGCCGCGGUAAUACGAAGGGGGCUAGCGUUGUUCGGAAUUACUGGGCGUAAAGCGCACGUAGGCGGAUUGUUUAGUUAGGGGUGAAAUCCCAGGGCUUAACCCUGGAACUGCCUCUAAUACUGGCAGUCUAGAGUCCGAGAGAGGUGAGUGGAAUUCCGAGUGUAGAGGUGAAAUUCGU